UGGAUUAUCUUCUUACACAUUGUUGAAUCUUGUGUGUUAGAUUGUUAACAUAUACUUGCCUCUGAAAUCUGAAUAAAACACAAAUUCCUCAAAAAUGCCUUCAUGCAUGGUUCUUUAUAUAUCCUGAUUUAUAGUAUUCAAAAAUAAUUUUCAAACCCACAUAAUUAUCACUAAAAUUUGAUCAAUUAUUAUUUUAAUCUGAACUUUUACCACUUCCUACAUUUUUUAUAUGGGGUUAAUGCUCUAUUUCGUCACUCUACUCGACUAAAAUUUUCAGUUGGCCUACCGAGUCAAAAAAGUUUUCAUUUAAAUAACAAAGUAUCCAAAAAUUUUCAAUUACAAGAUCAAGUUUAAAAAACAUUUCAACGCCGUUAGGCAGGCCUUUGACUUUAACGGAUAAAGUUAGUUUUAACGGAUUUGUAUUUCCCCCCAAUAAAAUUAGGGUUCUUAAACUAGUGUUAGGGUUUAAAUUGGGGGCUUCUGACUCCUGGUAGUGUUUUGUGCAAUAGAGGGGUUAAUUGGUUUUGGGUGGUGAAGAGGGUGAUACAGGGCAUACGAGUUAAGCCGGAGGAGAGGUCAGAGGCCACCUGGACCACCGUCAACGACUACUCUAUCUUUCUGGUACUGCUGGGGAUAGAGAAGCUUGGAGAUCAUGGAGAAUAAUUCAAGAAUCAGACCUUACACGUUGCUGUUGCAUUUGAAGACGAAGAGUCCCAUGAUCGCCCUCUCAUGCUCACUGAUGCCAUCUGAUUUUCCCCCAAAAUUAACUUCUCCACACCGAUGCUGCUGCUGUAUACAAACUGAUGGUAGUAUCAUAUUGUUUUAAAAAGAAAGGACUGGGAGAGGUAGUGGAGAGGAGAGAGAAUAUCUCUGUUAAAAAUUAACGGAAUGACCUAAUUGAAAGUUUUAGAUGAUAUAAUUAGUUGACCGAAAACUUUUUUGACUCGGUAGUCCAGUUGAAAGUUUUAGUCCAGUCCAAUGACCAAAUAGA
rnacentral:lncRNA from 1 species